UCCAGGAGGAGGCUGGGGUGGGCAGGCUGAGGGAGGAGCUGCGUGAGGUGGGGGAACAGAGGGACAGACUGGCCUUUCAGGUGACAGAGAACCAGGACCUGAGCCAUGACCUGGACCUGCUCAAUGAGAAACACAAGGCUGCACAGCACGAGGUGACCAACAGGGAUGAGACAGUGCUGAGACUGACCACAGAACUGAGGACUGCCCAGGAACACCUGAAAUCAGCUCAGGAUGAGCUGUCAGUGCAGGCUCAGCAGGAGCAGGCCCCUGGAGAGGAGGUGCAGAGGCUGCAGAAGGAGGUGAGCUGUCUCCAGGGCAGCCUGAGUCAGAGAGAGGAGACAUGGAGUCACAACUACAGACACUGGCCAGCACAGCAGGAGAGGGACAGCCGCUCA